rnacentral:rRNA from 1 species
GUAUAUUGACUGUACAAAGGUAGCAUAAUCAUUAGUCAUUUAAUUGAUGACUUGUAUGAAGGAUUGGAUGAAAUAUAAACUGUCUCUUAGUUAUAAAUAGAAUUUAAUUUUUUUAUUAAAAAGUUGAGAUAAUUUAAAAAGACGAGAAGACCCUAUAGAGUUUUAUAGUUAAAUUAAUUAAUAUUAUUUAUUAAAUUAAAGUUAAAAUUAGUUUAUUUAUUGUGUUGGGGUGAUAAAAAAAUAUGUAUAACUUUUUUUAAAUAAAAACAUUUAUAAGUGAUUAAUUGAUCCAAUAUUAUUGAUUAUAAGAAAAAAUUACCUUAGGGAUAACAGCGUAAUUUUUUUUUUUAGU